rnacentral:rRNA from 1 species
ACUCCUACGGGAGGCAGCAGUGGGGAAUAUUGCACAAUGGGGGAAACCCUGAUGCAGCAACGCCGCGUGAGUGAUGAAGGCCUUCGGGUUGUAAAGCUCUGUCUUUGGGGACGAUAAUGACGGUACCCAAGGAGGAAGCCACGGCUAACUACGUGCCAGCAGCCGCGGUAAAUAAAUAGCCAGCAGCCGCGGUAAU